rnacentral:rRNA from 1 species
UGGGGAAUAUUGGACAAUGGGGGGAACCCUGAUCCAGCGACGCCGCGUGAGUGAAGAAGUAUUUUGGUAUGUAAAGCUCUAUCAGCAGGGAAGAAAAUGACGGUACCUGACUAAGAAGCCCCGGCUAACUAUGUGCCAGCAGCCGCGGUAAUACGUAGGGGGCAAGCGUUAUCCGGAUUUACUGGGUGUAAAGGGAGCGCAGACGGUUUUGCAAGUCUGAAGUGAAAGCCCGAGGCUUAACCUCGGAGUUGCUUUGGAAACUGUAUAACUAGAGUGUCGGAGAGGUAGGUGGAAUUCCUAGUGUAGCGGUGAAAUGCGUAGAUAUUAGGAGGAACACCGGUGGCGAAGGCGGCUUACUGGACGAAAACUGACGUUGAGGCUCGAAGGCGUGGGGAGCAAACAGG